ensembl:lncRNA
GGUGGUGUUGAGAGAGGCUGGUGUGUCACGCCAUGCUAGGUCACCAGAGUGUGAAAGAGCUCAUCACCUGUCUUGGACAUCUCCUCCCAGCAGCUCAGCUUCUUAGUGGAGAAGUUGUUUGACCAUCUGGCCGAGGUAAAAAUCAUCAUGAGGAACACAGGGAAGGUGGGCUUUGAGUUCAGUGCUCUGUUGGGGGACCAGGAUGAGUGUGAGGACUCUCGGCCUGGACAUCCCCUGGUCAUCCCUAGAACGAUGGUGAAGGAGUCCACGGAGGCCCUGGAGGAGGACAGGAGAGAUAAAGGCACCACUCGGCCAACCACUGGAGAGGGCCUCCUGUCUGACGAGGACUACAUCCCUACACAUGAUUCCCUGCUGCAGAUGGAGGUAGAGAGGCUCUUGUUGAAACAGAAUGCCACGGCUAUUGAGAAGAGACAAGUGGACCAUAGGGACACACCUGCGUCCACUAGAAAGUGGCGUAAGGAGCUUAGCAGGUUGGCUCACAUGCAAGGUGAAGAACUUGCCCUAUUGUAAGAAUGAGACUUCUGAGGUGAAGUUUGAGCCUAUCUGGAUCUGAGGGAGAUCAGCACCGUCAUGCCUAUACAGUCACCAUAUCCGCCCUCUCAAC